GCCCUUUUAGCUCAAUGGCAGAGCAGCGGUAUCGUAAACCGUAGAUGUCAGUUCGAUUCUGACAAAGGGCU
rnacentral:tRNA from 1 species